rnacentral:rRNA from 1 species
UGGCAAGUUUCUUUGCCAGCAGCCGCGGUAAUUCCAGCUCCAAUAGCGUAUAUUAAAGUUGUUGCAGUUAAAAAGCUCGUAGUUGAACUUUGGGCCUGGGCGGACGGUCUACCUAUGGUAAGCACUGUUGCGGCCGGGUCUUUCCUUCUGGCUAGCCCUCGGGCGAACCAGGACGAUUACUUUGAGGAAAUUAGAGUGUUCAAAGCAGGCCUUUGCUCGGAUAUAUUAGCAUGGAAUAAUAGAAUAGGACGCAUGGUUCUAUUUUGUUGGUUUCUAGGACCAUCGUAAUGAUUAAUAGGGACGGUCGGGGGCAUCAGUAUUCAGUCGUCAGAGGUGAAAUUCUUGGAUUGACUGAAGACUAACUACUGCGAAAGCAUUGCCAAGGACGUUCAUAUCAGAACGAUGU